CUCUGUGACUCCUACGGGAGGCAGCAGUGGGGAAUAUUGCACAAUGGGGGAAACCCUGAUGCAGCCAUGCCGCGUGUGUGAAGAAGGCCUUCGGGUUGUAAAGCACUUUCAGUAGGGAGGAAGGUAGUGUAGUUAACACCUGCAUUAUUUGACGUUACCUACAGAAGAAGCACCGGCUAACUCCGUGCCAGCAGCCGCGGUAAUACGGAGGGUGCGAGCGUUAAUCGGAAUUACUGGGACGUAAAGCGCAUGCAGGCGGCCUGUUAAGUCAGAUGUGAAAGCCCCGGGGCUUAACCUCGGAAUUGCAUUUGAAACUGGCAGGCUAGAGUCUUGUAGAGGGGGUAGAAUUUCAGGUGUAGCGGUGAAAUGCGUAGAGAUCUGAAGGAAUACCAGUGGCGAAGGCGGCCCCCUGGACAAAGACUGACGCUCAGAUGCGAAAGCGUGGGGAGCAAACAGGAUUAGAUACCCUGGAG
rnacentral:rRNA from 1 species